AGCAGCCGCGGUAAUUCCAGCUCCAAUAGCGUAUAUUAAAGUUGUUGUAGUUAAAAAGCUCGUAGUUGAAUUUCGGGGUUAGUAGGUUGGUCAUGCCUCUGGUAUGUACUGGUCUCACUGAUUCCUCCUUCCUGAUGAGCCGUAAUGCCAUUAAUUUGGUGUUGCGGGGAAUUUGGACUGUUACUUUGAAAAAAUUAGAGUGUUUAAAGCAAGCUAACGCUUGAAUACAUUAGCAUGGAAUAAUGAAAUAGGACGUUCGAUCCUAUUUUGUUGGUUUCUAGGAUUGACGUAAUGAUUAAUAGGGAUAGUUGGGGGCAUUAGUAUUCAAUUGUCAGAGGUGAAAUUCUUGGAUUUAUUGAAGACUAACUACUGCGAAAGCAUUUGCCAAGGAUGUUUUCAUUAAUCAAGAACGAAAGUUAGGGGAUCGAAGACGAUCAGAUACCGUCGUAGUCUUAACCAUAAACUAUGCCGACUAGGGAUCGGAUGAUGUUAAUUUUUUAAUGACUCAUUCGGCGCCUUA
rnacentral:misc_RNA from 1 species